AUCUUGAGGAUCGCGUCGAUCAGCAUCUCCGGCC
rnacentral:antisense_RNA from 1 species